rnacentral:rRNA from 1 species
UACAGAGGUCUCAAGCGUUGUUCGGAUUCAUUGGGCGUAAAGGGUGCGUAGGUGGUGAUGCAAGUCUGGUGUGAAAUCUCGGAGCUCAACUCCGAAAUUGCACCGGAUACUGCGUGACUCGAGGACUGUAGAGGAGAUCGGAAUUCACGGUGUAGCAGUGAAAUGCGUAGAUAUCGUGAGGAAUACCAGAGGCGAAGGCGGCUACCUGGACAAUUGCUGACGCUCAGGCACGAAAGCGUGGGGAGCAAAAGGG